UUGUGUAGUACACGUGUGAACGUUUUUACGAGUCUUACGACGAGAAAAUGUCAAAAAAUUACAUGGUUUUGAUACACUUGGAUAAGUUGGCAAAUUCCACAAGAAUUGUAGAACAUCCUGAUAAAAUAAAGUACUGAAGACUGCAGAGAUGUCCGAUCUUCACUCAUGGAUGGCUGUCCAUCACAUUGAGCAGAGAUGUCUCAAUCUACCAAUGAUGAAGCCUCAGAGAGUCUCCAGCAAUCUGCUUUGAAAACUGAAGCUUCACAUUGUAAAGAUAAGGUGAUCCAAACAGAGGUCAGAUCAUCAGUCAUAGUGCUGUCCAUGUCGCACAGAGCAGAAGUGAUGUUGAAGCCUAGUGCCAGUAAUCGUCAAUAUGACACUACUCAUUCAACUUCCAUGUUUACAGAUCAGCUGAUCCAAACAGAGGUUGUCAGAUCAUCAGUCAAUUGCCUUCCAGAUUGUCAGAUCAUCAGUCAUAGUGGUUGUCCUGUUGCACGUGAGCAGAAGCGAUGUCUCAAGCUAUCGUUAUUGAAGCCAAGUGUCCAUCAAUCAUCUAUAUAACAACUCAUUCAACCUCAUGUUUACAGACCAAGUGAUCCAAACGGAGGUUGUCAGAUCAUCAGUCAUAGUGCCGUCGAGAUUGUCAGAUAAUCAGUUAUAGUGGCUGUCCAUGUCACACAGAGAAGAAGCAAUGCUGAAGCCUAGUGUCCAGUAAUCUGAGUUUUGACAACUCAUUCAACUUCAUGUUUACAGACCAAGUGAUCCAAACAGAGGUUUUCAGAUCAUCAUUCAUAGUGGCUGUCCUGUCGCACACGAGCAGAAGCCAUGUCUUCAGCUAUCGUUAUUGAAGCCAAGUGUCCAGCAAUCUCCGAUAUGACAACUCAUUCGACUUCAAAUUUACAGAUCAACUGAAGCCAGACACUCGGGAGUGCCGGAUCUUCAUUCAGAGUGGAAGUACUUUUGCAUUGAGCAAUCAAUUACAGAUCAAAAUCCAGACAGAGAGUGUUGGAUCUCACAAGGAGUUAGCGUCCAUGACUGGUAGAGAUGCACCACCUUUAUGUAUACUUUGUAACUAUUUGAAUAUUAUAGGGAUAUGGUUUAAUUAAUUGGGUGGUGACUUGGUCACACUUGCCUUUGUACUGUGCCAAAUUGCACCACUUUAUACCCUUAUUUUGGUGAGUUGCUCGCACUUCCAUUGUGUGGUCUAUCAUCAAACUCACAAACUGAAACGUUGUCAGAGUCUUUAUUCAGAAUGUUGCGCUCACUAUUCUAGCACAUUCAUUUAGUGCAUUCAGCUUAGGUGUGUGCUGAUGUGUGGAGUUUGACACACUUGGUUGCCAUAUAGUGGAGCCGGAUGGGACUUUUUUCCCCAAGAGGGUAUUAGAUAGGCGGGGUUUUCGCCCAUCUCAUACAUCAGCAUUAGCAGCCAUGCAACAUCUGAUUUUUUUUUUAUGGUUUUCUUAACCAUUGAACAAUUUAAAAACACAGCACAAAGCCUCGCUGUGCCUGGAUUUCUGGAAAUUCUUUUAUCAAAAUACAGAGUUGCAUGCCUGAAAUAGGAGACACAGUUAGUUUAUUAUUUGAAUAUUUUUGUAGUUAGUCAACGUUUCUAGGUGUGCCACACUUCCUUUGUGUGGACAAAUUUACACAUUCCCUUGAGUUACUCUGAGCGCUCACACUUCCUUUUUGUAGUGAGUAACUGACACUCUACCUUGUGUUACUCUGAGCACUUACACUUCCUUCACACUUCCUUUGUGUUGUGAGUAACUGAAACUCUCCCUUGUGUAACUCGAGCAGCUCACACUUCCUUUGCGUAGUAACUGACACUCUCCCUUGUGUAACCCUGAGCUCCCACACUUCCUUUGUGUAGUGAGUAACUGAUGCCUAGCACCUUGUGUAACUCUGAGUUGCUCACACACCCUUUGUGUAAUGAGUAACUGACACUCACUUGUGUUACUCGAGUUGCUCACACGCCUUUUGUGUAAUGAGUAACUGACACUCGUGUUCGAGUUGCUCACACUUCCUGUGUGUGUUGAGUAAUUGACACUCCCUUGUGUUACUCGAGUUGCUCACACUUCCUGUGUGUAAUGAUUAGAUUAACUGACACUCUCCCUUGUGUCAUUUGAGUUGCUCACACUUCCUUUACACUUCCUUUGUGUAGUGAGUAACUGAAACCUCCCCCUGUGUACUCUGAGUUGCUCACACUUCCUUGUUGUAGUAAGCUACUGACACUCUCCCUUGUGUUAUUCGGGCAGCUCACACUUCCUUUGUGUAGUGAGUAACUGACACUAUUGUUAUCUACUUUCACCUACUCUGCUUUGUGGUAAGGUUUACCCACACUUCCCCCUGUGUGCUAAAUUAGUUAUGUAGUUCUCUAGUUUAGUUUAUAACAAUCCCUCCUUUCACACUUAAAGAUAUUUGAUUCAGAUUCAGACAUGCCAAAUUCACAAAACAACACCUUUGAAAAUCAAAGAAAACUUUCCCCUGCAGAUAAUCAGGGCACUCUGAUUGUCUUCUUGGGAAACAGUUUUAUCAGUCAGAGAGCAGUCAGAAAGCACUUUGAUUGAAACUGUUCAAAUGAAUUUUAAACAAAAUUUGUUUGCAGAACUUGUUGGUGAAUAUAAUUGAUACAUUCCCUUGCAGAUAAUCAGUGCACUCUGAUCGUCUUCUAGGGAAACAGUUUAACCAAUCAGAGAACUCUCUGAAUAAAACUGUUCAAAGACUUUAAAAACAAAUUUUUGCAGAACUUUUGGAUGAAAAUUUCCCAUUUUUCCAGUCAGAGAGCACUCUGAUUGAAACUGUUCAAAGACAUUUAAAAAAAAAUGUUUCUAGAACUUUUGGAUCUUGAUUUGAAAAACACAAACUGUUUCUUAUUUAUUUUGACUAACCAUCAAAUCUGAAUCAUAUGUCUUUGUGUUAUGUAAGUAAAGUGUACAAGUUGCUCCUACCGAAAAGUGAGACCAUUUAUAAGAGUGAAACUUCUAAAAAGUAGUGACUUUUCUUGCAAGCGAAGCCAUUACUUUGUUUCAUGACCAAAUAUUAAAACAAAACUAUGGAAAUCUAAGUAAAAUUUUCAAAAAAUAUUGACUUUUCUUGCCAUUCACUUUGUUUCAUUCACCAAACAUAAAAACAAAACCAUGGAAAUCUCAGUAUCUUGCAGAUAUAUCGAAAUUUUUAUCUAAAUGAAAUGCAAUAUUCAUAAUUUUUUUGUUCUGAGAGAUUUUGGCAAUACCUUUCAGAUCUUAAGGGAAAACAAAAUUUUGUGUUUUUCUCAAGUUUUUUAGAGUUUUUUUAAUGAAAUUUUCAAGAUCUAAAUUAUGGACUCAUUGUGUAGGAGCAGCUCAUUUCAUGUAUGUUAGGGCCUCAUCCAAACCCUCUGAAAAACUCGCAGAGUUGUGCAAACACCUGUGCCUGUUGGUGGACCCCCUCGGCUGCCUGGAACAAGUGGUGGUCCUGCGGGCCCGGGUGCAAUGGAAGGUAUGUUCUCCAUUCAGUGAAAUUCUUUUAGAUGCACAGCUUGUGUUCUCCUUCACUGGUGUAAUGCCUAACAAAAUUUGAUGAGCUAGAGCGAGCAUUUUUGGAAGCAUGCGUUUAUACUAGGGCCGGAGCUGGAAGGUAGUGGUUGGUCCCUAAAACGUUCUGGUCGAUCUCUCAAGACGUCGGGAUGAGGGCCCCUUAUUAUUUAGCCUUUUGUUGGUCACUUCAUUCUUUUGUUUUUGAGUAAACAGGUUUGUACUGGGGAUCUUUCAAGAUCAUCAAAGGUGCCUUGAGAUGUCUUUGCUUGAGCCAAUGGAAUCUGGACUUAGUGGAUGAUGAGGACUUCUAUCCAGUUGAUGAUAUGAGGGCUGGAGAAACAUGUUCUGCUUGGUCAUGCAACUUUACAUCCAAAAUAUCUAGUAAGAACACAAAUUUUAUUGCCUUUUGAUACCAAAGAUGACACUGGAUUCCUAUAUAUUGUAGUUGUUUUGAGUCGAUUGUUUUUAGAAGAGGUCAAAGGUCUGGUCUAUGUCAAGGUUCUUAGGGUCUGUUCAUGGUCAAGGGCAAAUUACUGCAGGAAUUAACAUUUAGUUUUCAAAGCAAUGCCAAACAUAGUUUAUCAUGAAAGUUUAUCUCUGAAACUGUGCAACAUUAAUAACAGACCAUGGUUUUUAUUACCAUACAAGAUAGAAUUAAAUUCAUCGUCAACGCAUGUCUAACAAAAAGUUAAUAAGAAAAGUUUAUACUUUUCAAAAAGCUUAUGACAUUCCCAACUAAAUAUUUUUCUAGGAUAAGAAGUUUAUAACCAAACUAGGGUAGAACUAAAUUAGCUUUCAUAAACAAAGGUUAAUGAUAAAAGUUUAUAGUUCUCUAAAAGCUUGGGACAUUUACAGCUAAAUGUUAAUGUAGGAUGUUUAUUUUAAAAUCGACCUACAGGUUACUGUAGGUUUAAAGGGAAGGUACACGUUUGGUAAUUAUCAAAGACCAGUCUUCUCACUUGGUGUAUC